rnacentral:rRNA from 1 species
UACGUAGGGUGCAAGCGUUGUCCGGAAUUAUUGGGCGUAAAGAGCUCGUAGGCGGUUUGUCGCGUCUGCUGUGAAAACGCGAGGCUCAACCUCGCGCCUGCAGUGGGUACGGGCAAACUAGAGUGCGGUAGGGGAGAUUGGAAUUCCUGGUGUAGCGGUGGAAUGCGCAGAUAUCAGGAGGAACACCGAUGGCGAAGGCGGAUCUCUGGGCCGUAACUGACGCUGAGGAGCGAAAGCGUGGGGAGCGAACAGG